UACGUAGGGGGCAAGCGUUGUCCGGAUUUAUUGGGCGUAAAGCGCGCGUAGGCGGCGCGGUAUGUCGUGCGUGAAAUCUCCCGGCUUAACUGGGAGGGGCCGUGCGAAACUGCCGGGCUUGAGGUCGGAAGGGGAAAGUGGAAUUCCGGGUGUAGUGGUGGAAUACGGUAGAUAUCCGGAGGAACACCAGCGGCGAAGGCGGCUUUCUGGUCCGAUACUGACGCUGAGGUGCGAAAGCGUGGGGAGCGAUCCGGA
rnacentral:rRNA from 1 species